UAAGCCACCUACCUUUCACGCCAUAAACCAACUCAUCCAUAAACCCUCUUUUCGAUACUCAUUUUUUCCAUAAAAAAACCUCACGCACUGCAUACCUUUUCCACCCCUUCAGCUAUUGCGCAUGAACCAUCUUCCUUUCCACAUAUCUAUUCCAAACACUACUCCUCCAUCAACCUCUCACUCAUUUCAAAUAAAAAUAAAGAAAAAAACUAAAAGAGAAAGGUGAAAAACAUGAACUUCU
rnacentral:lncRNA from 1 species